AGCUGUGUGACCUUGGGCAAGUCACUUAACCCAAAUUGCCUUUCAAAAAAAAAUACGAUGUAAAGUAAAUAUUUUCAUAGUUGCAUGAAGCUUGAAUUCCUUCAUUUAAACUAAGUAGAAGAGUGGACCUUUAUAAGAAAUAUGUAGGAGCUAUGGAUACAUAGAGAACAUGAGGGCAUUCACAAAUGAAGGGAAACACAUGAGUGACCAAGACACAUAUAGAGGGAUAAUUCAAACUUUUGAUACAGCAAGCUGCCAUUGCUUUCUGCUGGUGUCAUUAUAUGGGUCCAUGCCAGGCCUGUUCCCUGCCAAUCAUUUAUAUGAUCAUCCAUUACAUAAAUCCAUCCAGGCUUGCUCUGAGCCUGGGACAAGCCUGGAUCUUGUAGAUCCUUAUUAGACAUCUACCAGGUAAGCCUGGGUCACUCUCAUUUAAUUGUACUAAGAAGGUAGCAAAGCUCCCUUCUUUGGACAAUUACCCUGUGACACAAAGCAUUCUGUCUGUGCUCACCACAUAUCAGGCCUUUCCUUUCAUCUGUCUUUUUCAUAUGUGUACUGUCUCCCCUUAGAGGAUGAACAAAAUUCAGAAGAUCCAGUAGAUGUACCAGAACCAAAUGACUCCCAGCAAGAUGAUCAGAACCCUGGCCAGCAACAAAGUGAUAAGAAGAAACCUGGACCUCCAGGUGGACAGCAAGGAGGUCCUCCAGGUGGACAGCAAGGAGGUCCUCCAGGUGGACAGCAAGGAGGUCAGCAAGGAGGACAGCAAGGAGGUCAGCAAGGAGGCCGUCUGGGUGGUCCACAAGGAGGUCAGCAAGGAGGUCCUCCAGGUGGUCCACAAGGAGGUCAGCAAGGAGGCCAGCAGGGUGGCCCUCCAGGUGGCCAGCAGGGAGGCCCUCCAGGUGGCCAGCAGGGAGGCCCUCCAGGUGGCCAGCAGGGAGGCCCUCCAGGUGGCCAGCAGGGAGGUUCUCAAGGUGGCCAGCAGGAAGACCCUCAAGGUGGCCAGGAGGGAGACUCUCCAGGUGGCCAGUGAAGAAGUUGUUCACCCUCCCCACCCCCAAGUGCAUAAAAAAGAAGAUGGGCAUUCAGGAGGCAACCUUGAAGUCCUCACAGGGACCUGGAUGUUGGGACAGUUCUUACCUCUUGAUCUACUCCAUUGUUUCUUUACAAUACCAAUAAAUACACUAGCAAUUAAACAUUGACUCUUGCUUCUCUUUAUGGUGUUUGUGUCAUUCAACUUUCAGCAUACUGGGUUGUAGAUAUAGGGAGACAAGUGUGGUCCCCAACUACUUAGUGCUUGGCUGAUUCCAGAUUAUUCUACAGAUGCACAGCCCUGACUUGGACUCAGUGGGUUAGUCCUAUGUCCCCAAAGUGCCCUUUGCUCAAGGUUGG
rnacentral:lncRNA from 1 species